GGAUUAGAUACCCUGGUAGUCCACGCCGUAAACGAUGUCUACUUGGAGGUUGUGGCCUUGAGCCGUGGCUUUCGGAGCUAACGCGUUAAGUAGACCGCCUGGGGAGUACGGUCGCAAGAUUAAAACUCAAAUGAAUUGACGGGGGCCCGCACAAGCGGUGGAGCAUGUGGUUUAAUUCGAUGCAACGCGAAGAACCUUACCUACUCUUGACAUCCAGAGAAUCCUGCGGAGACGUGGGAGUGCCUUCGGGAACUUUGAGACAGGUGCUGCAUGGCUGUCGUCAGCUCGUGUCG
rnacentral:rRNA from 1 species